GUGAGGAAUAUUGGGCAAUGGAGGCAACUCUGACCCAGCCAUGCCGCGUGCAGGAUGACGGCCCUCUGGGUUGUAAACUGCUUUUAUACGGGAAGAAAAAAUACUACGUGUAGUAUACUGACGGUACCGUAAGAAUAAGGAUCGGCUAACUCCGUGCCAGCAGCCGCGGUAAUACGGAGGAUCCAAGCGUUGUCCGGAUUUAUUGGGUUUAAAGGGUGCGUAGGCGGAUCUUUAAGUCAGUGGUGAAAGCCUGCAGCUUAACUGUAGAAUUGCCAUUGAAACUGAAGAGCUUGAAUGUGGUUAAAGUAGGCGGAAUGUAUCAUGUAGCGGUGAAAUGCUUAGAUAUGAUACAGAACACCGAUAGCGAAGGCAGCUUGCUGAACCAUUAUUGACGCUGAGGCACGAAAGCGUGGGGAGCGAACAGGAUUAGAUACCCUGGUAGUCC
rnacentral:rRNA from 1 species